rnacentral:rRNA from 1 species
UACGUAGGGGGCGAGCGUUGUCCGGAGUUACUGGGCGUAAAGCGCACGUAGGCGGCUUUCUAAGUCAGGGGUGAAAUCCUGGAGCUCAACUCCAGAACUGCCUUUGAUACUGGAGAGCUAGAGUCCGGAAGAGGUGAGUGGAACUGCGAGUGUAGAGGUGAAAUUCGUAGAUAUUCGCAAGAACACCAGUGGCGAAGGCGGCUCACUGGUCCGGUACUGACGCUGAGGUGCGAAAGCGUGGGGAGCAAACAGG